UACGGAGGAUCCAAGCGUUAUCCGGAUUUAUUGGGUUUAAAGGGUGCGUAGGCGGUUUAUUAAGUUAGGGGUGAAAGACGGCAGCUUAACUGUCGCAGUGCCUUUGAUACUGAUGAACUUGAAUGUACUAGAAGUAGGCGGAAUGUGACAAGUAGCGGUGAAAUGCAUAGAUAUGUCACAGAACACCGAUUGCGAAGGCAGCUUACUAUGGUAUUAUUGACGCUGAGGCACGAAAGCGUGGGGAUCAAACAGG
rnacentral:rRNA from 1 species